GACGAACGCUGGCGGCGUGCUUAACACAUGCAAGUCGAACGGGGUCCAGCCUGUAGCAAUACAGAGGAAGACCUAGUGGCGAACGGGUGAGGAACACGUGAGGAAUCUGUCCCGAACUCUGUGUUAACAGGUGGAAACGACUGCUAAUAUCGGAUGCCGUCAUUGCAUCGCAUGAUUCGAUGACGAAAGAAUUUCGGUUCGGGGGGAUUUCGCGGCCUAUCAGCUUGUUGGUGGGGUAAUGGCCUACCAAGGCAUCGACGGGUAGCUGGUCUGAGAGGAUGAUCAGCCACACUGGGACUGAGACACGGCCCAGACUCCUACGGGAGGCAGCAGUGGGGAAUCUUGCGCAAUGGGCGAAAGCCUGACGCAGCAACGCCGCGUGCGGGAAGAAGGCCUUCGGGUCGUAAACCGCUUUCAGCAGGAACGAAAAUGACGGUACCUGCAGAAGAAGGUGCGGCCAACUACGUGCCAGCAGCCGCGGUAA
rnacentral:rRNA from 1 species